rnacentral:misc_RNA from 1 species
UUUGGUGCAGAAGUGAGCGA